UCCGGCUUACCACCGGCGGUCCCUUUAGAGUUCCCAACUUAAUGGUGGCAACUAAAGGCGAGGGUUGCGCUCGUUGCGGGACUUAACCCAACACCUCACGGCACGAGCUGACGACAGCCAUGCACCACCUGUGAAGGUGCCCCGAAGGGAGACCGUGUUUCCACGGCUGUCACCCACAUGUCAAGCCCAGGUAAGGUUCUUCGCGUUGCGUCGAGUUGAACCACAUGCUCCGCUGCUUGUGCGGGUCCCCGUCAAUUCCUUUGAGUUUUAGCCUUGCGGCCGUACUCCCCAGGCGGGCCACUUACUGCGUUGGCGGCGGCACGGAGGGGGUCGAUACCCCCCGCACCUAGUGGCCACCGUUUAGGGCGUGGACUAC
rnacentral:misc_RNA from 1 species